rnacentral:rRNA from 1 species
UGCCCACUGAUAAAUUAUUAAAGGGCUGCAGUAAUUUGACUGUACAAAGGUAGCAUAAUCAUUAGUCAUUUAAUUGAUGACUUGUAUGAAAGAUUGGAUGAAAUAUAAACUGUCUUAUAAAUAAAUUAUAAAAUUUAAUUUUUUAGUUAAAAAGCUAAAAUAAAUUAAAAAGACGAGAAGACCCUAUAGAGUUUUAUUUUUAAUUUUAUUUUAAUUAUUUAUAAAAAUAUAUUAUAAUAAUUCAUUAAAAUAAAAUUAAAAAUUUUAUUGGGGUGAUAGAAAAAUGAAAUUAACUUUUUUUUUAUUUAAAACAUAAAUAAAUGAUUAAAUGAUCCAAUUUUAUUGAUUAUAAGAAAAAAUUACCUUAGGGAUAACAGCGUAAUUUUAUUUUUUAGUUCAAAUAAAAAUUAAAGUUUGCGACCUCGAUGUUGGAUUAAGAUAAAAUUUAAAUGUAGAAGUUUAAAAUUUUGA